AGCAAACAGCAACACGCUAUCAUGGAAUGAGGUUAGUGAAUAAACGCAAAAUGAUUAUAUGUAUAUCAAGGAACAAAAUAAAUCGAUCACACAUGGCAAAUGAAUCGAUCAAUCAGUCAAUCAAUCAUGAAAUCUCAUAUGUGGGGCCCCCACCAAAGCCCAUUCUAUUUUGCACGAAUUAGUCUCACAAAUUCCAUUAUUCUGAAAUUAUGAAAAUA
rnacentral:lncRNA from 1 species